rnacentral:lncRNA from 1 species
UUGGCCGAUCCGGACAAUAUUCUGCAAAACUGUAGCCAAUCUAGUAGAGAGAAUAUUUUAUCUUUCUAUCCCAUCUAAUUCUUUCUGUAUCGUGUCUGGAGUACUCUAAGAGUGCAGAUAACCUCACCUAACUGAUGUUGUAUAUCUGUAUGAAGUGAACAUCUCUCUAAUUCUUCGAUACGACAAACAAAAUCAUGAAUGUCCCGUCUUAUAUCCUGCACCGUUGAAAUAAGAUUGUCUAAUUUUUGCUCGAAUGGAGAACUAUGUAU